UACGAAGGGGGCUAGCGUUGCUCGGAAUCACUGGGCGUAAAGGGUGCGUAGGCGGGUCUUUAAGUCAGGGGUGAAAUGCCGAGGCUCAACCUCGGAACUGCCUUUGAUACUGGCAAUCUUGAGUCCGGGAGAGGUGAGUGGAACUCCUAGUGUAGAGGUGAAAUUCGUAGAUAUUAGGAAGAACACCAGUGGCGAAGGCGGCUCACUGGCCCGGUACUGACGCUGAUGUGCGAAAGCGUGGGGAGCAAACAGG
rnacentral:rRNA from 1 species